rnacentral:rRNA from 1 species
CCUACGGGUGGCAGCAGUGGGGAAUUUUGCGCAAUGCUCGUAAGAGUGACGCAGCGACGCCGCGUGAAUGACGAAGGCCUUCUGGUCGUAAAGUUCUUUUGACAGGGGAGAAAAUGCCUAUAAGUAACUGUGUAUGUAUUGACGGUACGUGUAUAAGCAGCCCCGGCUAACUCCGUGCCAGCAGCCGCGGUAAUACGGGGGGGGCGAGCUUUGUUCGGAGUGACUGGGAGUAAAGAGCACGUAGGCGGUGUUUUAAGUUAUUAGUCAAAGAGUAGAGCUCAACUUUGGUAAGGCUAGUGAUACUAUAGGACUAGAGAAUCGGUGAGGAAGGCAGAAUGUAUGGUGUAGCGGUGAAAUGCGUAGAGAUCAGAAGGAAUACCGUUAGCGAAGGCGGCAAUCUGGCUGGAAUCUGACGCUGAGGUGCGAAAGCGUGGGUAGCAAACAGGAUUAGAUACCCCAGUAGUC